AGCAGCCGCGGUAAUUCCAGCUCCAAUAGCGUAUAUUAAAGUUGUUGCAGUUAAAAAGCUCGUAGUUGAAUUUCGGGGUCAGUAGGCUGGUCGUGCCACAGGUAUGUACUGGUCUUACUGAUUCCUCCUUCCUGAUGAACCGUAAUGCCAUUAAUUUGGUGUUGCGGGGAAUCUGGACUGUUACUUUGAAAAAAUUAGAGUGUUUAAAGCAGGCUAACGCUUGAAUACAUUAGCAUGGAAUAAUGAAAUAGGACGAUCGAUCCUAUUUUGUUGGUUUCUAGGAUUGACGUAAUGAUUAAUAGGGAUAGUUGGGGGCAUUAGUAUUCAAUUGUCAGAGGUGAAAUUCUUGGAUUUAUUGAAGACUAACUACUGCGAAAGCAUUUGCCAAGGAUGUUUUCAUUAAUCAAGAACGAAAGUUAGGGGAUCGAAGACGAUCAGAUACCGUCGUAGUCUUAACCAUAAACUAUGCCGACUAGGGAUCGGAUGAUGUUAAUUUUUAAUGACUCAUUCGGCGUCCG
rnacentral:rRNA from 1 species